rnacentral:lncRNA from 1 species
UUUUUUUUUUUUUUUUUUUUUGGUUUUUUGAGACAAGGUUUCUCUGUAUAACCCUGGCUGUCCUGGACCUCACUUUGUAGACCAGGCUGGCCUCGAACUCAGAAAUCCGCCUGCCUCUGCCUCCCGAGUGCUGGGAUUAAAGGCAUGCGCCACCACGCCCGGCCCCCAAGAUCUCUUAAUAAAGGUUCCUAGUACCAACCAGGUAAUGGUGGCUUGUGCCUUUAAUCCCAUAAGUUGAGGCAGGCAGAUUUCUGUGAGUUCAAGGCCAGCUUGGUCUUACCGAGAAAGUUUCAGGGCUACACACAGGGAAACCCUGUCUUGAAAAAUGAAAAAAAAAAAAAAGUGUUUUUUCAUAGUACCUCUGAGUAGUUCCACUCCAAAAUGCAACAUAGCAUGGGCAGAGUGAAGGGCAGAUGUUACAGAGAAAAGGAAGUUUAUAGAUUUCCCGAUGGCAGCAAGCAAGGGAAGGGGGAAGAACACAGAUAACAUCUCUGUAUUCUUCAGAGGGUCGACCCCAGGGCUUUAAAAAUAUUUCUUCUUUAAAUUUUAUGUUGUCUGGGUGCUUUGGCUGCAUGUAUGCCUGCACACCCAUUGAGGCCAGAAUGCGGCACUGGGUCCCCUGGGACUGGGGUUACCGAAGGAAAUUGUGAACCACCAUGUGGGUGCUGGGACUUGAACCCAGGGUCUCUGGAGGGAUUUUAUCUUGGGAUCAUCACCUGCAGUGGUACUAGAAGAUGCAAAUACCAGAGGCUCAGAUAGAGGCAGGAACUUUCACACACACACCCUGUCUCACUGCCUAUCUGCAUAUCUACCUGGAACCAGCUGUGGCCAUUCCAACAUUGCUCACCCGAGGUUCCAGGAGAGACAGAGGCCCACAAUGAUUACAUUGACAGCGCCAUGCUAAGUUCAACCAAAAGUUCAUUUUCUGCACCAGUUCUCAUCUCAAGAAUAUCCAGCUGUGUUUCAUGGGAACCCAGAUUGUAGCAUGAAUUUCACUAGUAACAUCAUAGCAGCAAUUAAAACUGUCCUGGGUUACACUCUAUGCCUGCUGUUCCAUCCCAGAAGACAACUUAGAUUCUUGCCUCUGGAAUCCUUAGGUCUAAAGAGAUAAGAGAAAAAUCAAUUCUAACAACCCAAUCUGGAGCAUUUUAUAAUAAGAUUAAAAACAUUUACAGUAGUGAAGAGACCACAGCGCUAAUUCUCUUUUUAUGUUUUGAAAAGCUAGCUAUAGGCUUUACAUUUUGGUGGUUGGAGUGAUGGCUCAGUGCUUUGGCAGAGGACCAGGGUUCGAUUCCCAGCACAUACUUGGUGGCUUACAGCCACCUCUAACUCUAGUUCUAGUGUACCCAGUGCCCUCUUCUGGCCUCCCCAGGCACUGCAUGCAUAUGAAUCACAUACAUACAUGAAGGAACUCAUGCAUGUACAGUUUUUUAAAGAGUGACUGGAUUGGGGACAUAGCUCAGUGGGAGAACUCUUGCCUAGCAUGUGCUACGUUCUAGGUUUGAUUUCCCCAGACCCUCCGUAAACAACAAACAAGCAAAAUAUGCCUGUGUGAGGGCAUCAGAUCCCCUGGAACUGGAGGUACAGACAGGCGUGUAAGUGCCAUGUGGGUGCUGGGAAUUGAACCGGCAUCCUUUGGAAGAGCAACCAGUGCUUUUAACCACCGAGCCAUCUCUCCAGUAGAGUACUGACAUAAAAGCACAAAAGACCAAUGGAACAAAACAGAGGUUGCAGAAAUAAAUCCACACAUUUAUGGACAACUAAACCAAAAUAAUGAGCUCACACAGUGAGGAAAGGGAGGACGUCUAUUCAUGGCUGGCAAAGACUGAAAUCCACUUGCACGAGAAUGAAACUGGACACAUCACACCAUACACAAAAAGCUCUUCAGCUGAGCAGUGGUGGCACACACCUUUAAUCCCAGCAUUCGGGAGGCCGAGGCAGGUAGAUCUCUGUGAGUUCAAGGGCAACCUAGUCUACAGAGUGAGUCCCAGGACAGCCAGGGCAGUAACACAAUGAAAGCCUGUCUCUAAAAAAACAAAAACCAAACAAACAAAAAGGUUAUUCAAAUGGAGUAAGACUUAAAUAUAAUACUUGGAUGUUUAAAACUAGUAGAAGAGAAUACAGGAUGAAAUACAGAAGAAAUACAGGAUUCUUGACACUGGCUUGGGAAUUUAAGUUUGGGAUAUGACCCAAAUUACAAAAGACAGUACACACACACAACAACACACACGAUUAGAUUAGAUUUAAAAAGUUUCUGCACAGCAAAAGACAUGACCAGCAGAAUGAAUGAAGAGAUAACUCAUGGCAAUAGAAGCAAACUCUAUAAGGAACGUAACGACAUGGAAUAAAAAUUUAUAAAGAGACAAGCAAGCUAGGCCUGUGGCACAAACCUUUAGUCCUAGGUAGCAUUGGGGAGGCAGAAGCAGGUGGAUGUCUGAGGUUCAAGGUCAGCCACAUCUGCAUAGCAAUUUCCAGGUCAGCCAGGACUACAUACUGCGAUCCUUUCUC